GAUGAACGCUGGCGGCGUGCCUAAUACAUGCAAGUCGAGCGAACGGACGAGAAGCUUGCUUCUCUGAUGUUAGCGGCGGACGGGUGAGUAACACGUGGAUAACCUACCUAUAAGACUGGGAUAACUUCGGGAAACCGUAGCUAAUACCGGAUAAUAUUUUGAACCGCAUGGCUCAAAAGUGAAAGACGGUCUUGCUGUCACUUAUAGAUGGAUCCGCGCUGCAUUAGCUAGUUGGUAAGGUAACGGCUUACCAAGGCAACGAUGCAUAGCCGACCUGAGAGGAUGAUCAGCCACACUGGAACUGAGACACGGUCCAGACUCCUACGGGAGGCAGCAGUAGGGAAUCUUCCACAAUGGGCGAAAGCCUGACGGAGCAACGCCGCGUGAGUGAUGAAGGUCUUCGGAUCGUAAAACUCUGUUAUUAGGGAAGAACAUAUGUGUGAGUAACUGUGCACAUCUUGACGGUACCUAAACAGAAAGCCACGGCUAACUACGUG
rnacentral:rRNA from 1 species